UUGUUUCUUUGUAUAACCGAACAAGAUUCCACCAUGAAUGAGAUGACAGCGAGGGAGACGGCACCGGAAAUGGUUACAACCACGACAAAGGAAACAGAAUUGAUAGAGAAGUCGAGGGAAGUGUAUGAUGAAGAAGAAAAGGGGGAGAAAAUACUCCCUCGACAGAAGCAUGUAGCAGUUCUCGAAGCCAAAUCUCUUCCCGGCAUCAUCAGUGCUUACCUCAAUUAUCCCGACGCUGCAGAAAAAGAUGUAAAAAAAUGGGAAAGAUCAUAUCAGAAGCUGUCUCCUGCACAUAAGGCAUUGUUACCUCAUUACCCUAUGAAGUUCCAGAAUUUACGAAGGUGUAUAUCGACGAAUUCACAUUUCAUAUUGAAUAUGCUUCAGGCUUUUGACCCUUCUCUAGACUUGAGUAAACACAUGGGCAAGGGAAAAACAGGAGUACUGUCUAUCGAGGAGCUUCAAAGGACAGAAGUUUAUGAUCACUCUCUCAAGAAUCACUCUGUAGACACAAGAAUCAAUAAUAAGACAUGUGAAUUUGAUGGAAGCCAGUUAAAUCAUGAUCAUGUAUCAUUUUCAUCUCAUGAUUUGUUGGAUUCGUCGUUACAGACACAUGUUCCUCUGGUUGAUGUAGAUAAGGUUCGUUGGGUACUAAGGAAUAUAGUUCGAGACUGGGGAGCAGAGGGUCAGACCACACGAGAUGAAUGCUACAAGCCUAUCCUUGAAGAGCUUGAUUCCUUGUUUCCUGAUCGUCAGAAGGACAGCACUCCUCCUGCCUGUUUAGUCCCUGGUGCUGGACUUGGACGUCUCGCCCUUGAAAUUUCUUGUCUAGGCAUGCAAGGAAGAAUCAAAAGUUUCAGAAGCGUAGGAAAUGAGUUUUCAUAUUACAUGAUGAUAUGCUCAAGUUUUAUUCUUAAUUAUACACAAGUGCCUGAUGAGUGGACAGUAUACCCCUGGAUAUACACCAACUGCAAUUCUCUCUCGGAAAAUGAUCAACUACGUCCCAUCUCUUUUCCUAAUAUUCAUCCUGCUAGGCAUGUGCUACCGAAUCGCAGAGAAACUGGUCUAUUUAUUAAUGCAGGAGUAACAGAAGGUUUCUCUAUGUGUUGUGGCGAUUUUCUUGAAGUGUUCAAUGAAUCAAGUCAAGCAGGGAUGUGGGAUGCAGUUGUGACUUGUUUUUUCAUCGAUACGACUCGUAAUAUGAUCGAGUACAUCGAAACGAUAUCCAAAGUCGUAAAGGAUGGAGGAGUUUGGAUAAAUUUAGGACCUCUGUGUUAUCACUUUGCGGACAUACCUGGCCUGGAAAAUUGAAUUAAUACUUAGGAAAUGUCGAUCGAGCUAAGUUUGGAGGAUGUAAAGAGAGUUGCUUCGCAUUAUGGGUUUGAGAUUGAGAAAGAAAGAACGAUUGACACAACGUACUGUGCAAAUCCCCGGUCUAUGCAAAAGAACCGCUACUAUUCUGUCUUCUGGAGAAUGAGGAAGAAGAAGUGUGCUAUUUAACAACUUAAACCAAACAUCCCUAUAAACCCAACAUAUUCCUUCCGUUCUGGAGUUGUUUUUGUGUUGCACUUUGAUAUAUUUAUUAUGAAUUUACAAUCCGAUCUCAAAACACGUAAUAUUUCCUGUGUUGUAAACUAAAUAAACUGUGUUCUCGUUUAUUGAACAAUAAAAAAACUUUGUA